GGGUUGUUAGCUCAAUUGGAUUAGAGCAAGAGACUUUUAAUCUCGAGGUUCCGGGUUCGAAUCCCGGACGACCCAC
rnacentral:tRNA from 1 species